rnacentral:misc_RNA from 1 species
UUUCCGUAGGUGAACCUGCGGAAGGAUCAUUACUGAGUGAGGGCCCCUCGGGGUCCAACCUCCACCCGUGUUUAACGAACCUUGUUGCUUCGGCGGGCCCGCCUCACGGCCGCCGGGGGGCAUCUGCCCCCGGGCCCGCGCCCGCCGAAGCCACCUGUGAACGCUGUCUGAAGUAUGCAGUCCGAGACAAUUAUUAAAUUAAUUAAAACUUUCAACAACGGAUCUCUUGGUUCCG